rnacentral:rRNA from 1 species
CCUACGGGAGGCAGCAGUAGGGAAUCUUCCACAAUGGGCGAAAGCCUGAUGGCGCAACGCCGCGUGGGUGAAGAAGGUCUUCGGAUCGUAAAACCCUGUUGUUAGAGAAGAAAGUGUGUGAGAGUAACUGUUCACGUUUCGACGGUAUCUAACCAGAAAGCCACGGCUAACUACGUGCCAGCAGCCGCGGUAAUGCGUAGGUGGCAAGCGUUAUCCGGAUUUUUUGGGCGUAAAGGGAACGCAGGCGGUCUUUUAAGUCUGAUGUGAAAGCCUUCGGCUUAACCGGAGUAGUGCAUUGGAAACUGGGAGACUUGAGUGCAGAAGAGGAGAGUGGAACUCCAUGUGUAGCGGUGAAAUGCGUAGAUAUAUGGAAGAACACCAGUGGCGAAAGCGGCUCUCUGGUCUGUAACUGACGCUGAGGUUCGAAAGCGUGGGUAGCAAACAGGAUUAGAUACCCCAGUAGUC